rnacentral:rRNA from 1 species
UGGGGAAUUUUGGACAAUGGGCGAAAGCCUGAUCCAGCAAUGCCGCGUGUGUGAAGAAGGCCUUCGGGUUGUAAAGCACUUUUGUCCGGAAAGAAAUCCUUGGCUCUAAUACAGUCGGGGGAUGACGGUACCGGAAGAAUAAGCACCGGCUAACUACGUGCCAGCAGCCGCGGUAAUACGUAGGGUGCAAGCGUUAAUCGGAAUUACUGGGCGUAAAGCGUGCGCAGGCGGUUUGCUAAGACCGAUGUGAAAUCCCCGGGCUCAACCUGGGAACUGCAUUGGUGACUGGCAGGCUAGAGUAUGGCAGAGGGGGGUAGAAUUCCACGUGUAGCAGUGAAAUGCGUAGAGAUGUGGAGGAAUACCGAUGGCGAAGGCAGCCCCCUGGGCCAAUACUGACGCUCAUGCACGAAAGCGUGGGGAGCAAACAGGAUUAGAUACCCUGGUAGUCCACGCCCUAAACGAUGUCAACUAGUUGUUGGGGAUUCAUUUCCUUAGUAAUGUAGCUAACGCGUGAAGUUGACCGCCUGGGGAGUACGGUCGCAAGAUUAAACUCAAAGGAAUUGACGGGGUCAUAGCUGUUUCCU